rnacentral:rRNA from 1 species
UGCGUAGGUGGUUUUUUAAGUCAGAGGUGAAAGGCUACGGCUCAACCGUAGUAAGCCUUUGAAACUGGGAAACUUGAGUGCAGGAGAGGAGAGUGGAAUUCCUAGUGUAGCGGUGAAAUGCGUAGAUAUUAGGAGGAACACCAGUUGCGAAGGCGGCUCUCUGGACUGUAACUGACACUGAGGCACGAAAGCGUGGGGAGGCAAAACA